rnacentral:tRNA from 1 species
GCCUGGGUAGCUCAGUCGGUUGAGCGUCGGACUUUAGCUCAGGUCAUGAUCUCACAGUUCGCGAGUUCAAGCCCUGCAUCAGGCU